GUACGAACGCUGGCGGCGUGCUUAACACAUGCAAGUCGAACGGAAAGGCCCUUCGGGGUACUCGAGUGGCGAACGGGUGAGUAACACGUGGGUGAUCUGCCCUGCACUUUGGGAUAAGCCUGGGAAACUGGGUCUAAUACCGGAUAGGACCACGCGCUUCAUGGUGUGUGGUGGAAAGCUUUUGCGGUGUGGGAUGGGCCCGCGGCCUAUCAGCUUGUUGGUGGGGUAAUGGCCUACCAAGGCGACGACGGGUAGCCGGCCUGAGAGGGUGACCGGCCACACUGGGACUGAGAUACGGCCCAGACUCCUACGGGAGGCAGCAGUGGGGAAUAUUGCACAAUGGGCGCAAGCCUGAUGCAGCGACGCCGCGUGAGGGAUGACGGCCUUCGGGUUGUAAACCUCUUUCAAUAGGGACGAAGCGCAAGUGACGGUACCUAUAGAAGAAGGACCGGCCAACUACGUGC
rnacentral:rRNA from 1 species